AGGCCUGCGGGUUGUAAAGCACUUUCAGKAGAGAAGAAAAGCCUGAGGUUAAUACCCUCGAGUCUUGACGUAACCUACAGAAGAAGCACCGACUAACUCCGUGCCAGCAGCCGCGGUAAUACGGAGGGUGCGAGCGUUAAUCGGAAUUACUGGGCGUAAAGCGCGCGUAGGCGGUUGUGUGAGUCAGAUGUGAAAGCCCCGGGCUUAACCUGGGAAUGGCAUUUGAUACUGCAUAGCUAGAGUUUGGUAGAGGGGAGUGGAAUUCUCGGUGUAGCGGUGAAAUGCGCAGAUAUCGAGAGGAACACCAGUAGCGAAGGCGGCUCACUGGGCCGGUACAGACGCUGAGGUGCGAAAGUGUGGGGAGCGAACGGGAUUAGAUACCCCGGUAGUCCACACCGUAAACGAUGGACACUAGAUGGUGGGAGCAUUACCCUCUCACUGUCGUAGCUAACGCAUUAAGUGUCCCGCCUGGGGAUUACGGCCGCAAGGUUAAAACUCAAAGAAAUUGACGGGGGCCCGCACAAGCGGUGGAGUAUGUGGUUUAAUUCGAUGCAACGCGAAGAACCUUACCUGGGCUUGACAUCCCGCGCUACCCUUGGAAACUAGGGGUUCUCUUCGGAGACGCGGUGACAGGUGUUGCAUGGCUGUCGUCAGCUCGUGUCGUGAGAUGUUGGGUUAAGUCCCGCAACGAGCGCAACCCCCGCCAUUAGUUGCCAGCAU
rnacentral:rRNA from 1 species